rnacentral:rRNA from 1 species
GAUGAACGCUAGCUACAGGCUUAACACAUGCAAGUCGAGGGGUAACGAGAGGAAAGCUUGCUUUCCUUGUCGACGACCGGCGCACGGGUGAGUAACGCGUAUCCAACCUGCCCCCAACUAGGGAAUAACCUUGCGAAAGUAAGACUAAUACCCUAUAAUUUCCUCAGAUGCCAUCUGACGAGGAAUAAAGAUUUAUUGGUUGUGGAUGGGGCUGCUUCUGAUUAGCGUGUUGGCGGGGUAACGGCCCACCAAGGCAACGAACAGUAGGGGUUCUGAGAAGAAGGUCCCCCACAUUGGAACUGAGACACGGUCCAAACUCCGACGGGAGGCAGCAGUGAGGAAUAUUGGUCAAUGGGCGGAAGCCUGAACCAGCCAAGUAGCGUGCAGGAUGACGGCCCUAUGGGUUGUAAACUGCUUUUAUACAGGAAUAAAGUUAGCCACGUGUGGUUAUUUGUAGGUACUGUAUGGAUAAGGACCGGCUAAUUCCGUGCCAGCCGCCGCCGUAA